GGGAGAGAUGCUGUCUCCAAGGCAACGGGUGAGUGGGAUGUGUGCUGGGGCCCAGGCAAGAAGCAGCAGGAUUGGCUGGAUGGAGACUCGUGCCUGGCCAAGGGGGAGAGAUGCUGUCUCCAAGGCAACGGGUGAGUGGGAUGUGUGCGGGGGCCCAGGAAAGAAGCAGCAGGAUUGGCUGGAUGGAGACUCGUGCCUGGCCAAGGAAUCCUGGGGAGGAGAUGAAAGGUGACUUCCAGAGGGCCUUCAGAAACAUCUGACUGACUUGGGAGGUUCAGAGGUCGGGCAGACAAAGGCAGGACAGCCUGAGAACCUGGAGUCCUGAGGAAAAUCUCAUGGAAAAUGGUGUUGGGAUAUCUGGACGGGUCUCCUCAGAGGGUAUAAAGAGAGUCACUACCCCUAAAGAUAAAAUAGAGACAGAGAAAAUGGAAGAUUCCUCCCUUACAUGAAAACAUGGAGAAAAAAUUUGAGCCCUCAUAGGAAUCCUGGGGAGGAGAGGAAAGGUGACCUCCAGAGGGCCUUCAGAAACAUCUGACUGACUUGGGAGGUUCAGAGGUCAGGCAGACAAAGGCAGGACAGCCUGAGAACCUGGAGUCCUGAGGAAAAUCUCAUGGAAAAUGGUGUUGGGAUAUCUGGACGGGUCUCCUCAGAGGGUUCUCAACAGAGUCAUUCAGUAUCCAUGAAGAAGAUAAGAGAGAGAUUGGAAGAUUCCUCCCUCACAUGAA